UCACCUGGUCGAUACACCAAGGAAGCCUAGCACAACAGUCAGCAUUCUGUUCUUCCUAGUGAAUAUUCUGGUUUGAUUCUUAGACUUCUGCGAGUUCCAUUCUGCAGUUCAGUCUCUGCCUGAGACAGGAGACCUUCCUCUGAGACUGCCAGAGUUCUGUAUGGGACCUUGCUUCUGCCAAACAGACAUACUACAGGAGACUUGGAGCUAAGUGGUGGAGAGAUUGGCUUGUGGCGGUGAAGGUGUGGUUCUUCUGGGGAAGCUGAGGCAGGUGGCAGAGCAUCAGGUCCCAAGAGGCCUGGGUACUGACUGCAGGUACCACCAGGGUGCUGCUCCCCACAGCACCGCUGCGGCGCGGCUGGUCAUUUCUGCUGAUCUAUUCCGGAUGAGGCAGGCUCCAAGCCCAGGUAUUUGACUUCCUUGCAGAUAAUAUGUUCUAUAAACCCUCUCCUGCUUAAAUUAGCUAGAAGAGAAUCUAUGGUCUGCCACUGCUGCUAAGUUGCUUCAGUCAUGUCCAACUCCGUGCGACCCCAUAGACCAUUGCCCACCAGGCCCCGCCGUUCCUGGGAUUCUCCAGGCAAGAACACUGGAGUGGGUUGCCAUUUCCUUCUCCAACGCAUGAAAGCGAAAAGUGAAAAUGAAGUCGCUCAGUCGUGUCCGACUCCUAGCGACCCCAUGGACUGCAGCCUACCAGGCUCCUCCGUCCAUGGGAUUUUCCAGGCAAGAGUACUGGAGUGGGGGGCCAUGGCACAGAGAAUCACAAAUGACAUAGCCGUAAACCCAAAACUUCAACAAGCCUCAUAGUUAACGGAGAAAUAUUAGAAUUAGCCUGUUUUAAAAUCAGACGGAUAAUAAGCAAGAUCAAAAAAUGCAGUGCUAAAUGGAAAAAGUAAAAACUUUUAGGGACUAAUUUAAAUGCAGAGUACGUGACUUCAUAGGUAUAGAAACGAAAGAAGAGAGAGAUGAGGGGGAGGGAAAGGAUUUUCAGUCACUUCUCCAGCGACAUUUCAGACCCGCUCAGCCUCAUCUGCUGGGUUCCGGCACUUUGGGUGAGCUGCUGCUGCAGAGCCGUCACACGGGAUGGGCCAGCCGCCCACCGCACGGCUGCUGUCGCGUCCCCAAGAUACACCGGCUGCCGCCCGGGAGCUGCCCCACUGAUGCUGCUGCUGCUGCUAAGACACUUCAGUCCUGUCCGACUCUGUGCGACGCCAUAGACGGCAGCCCACCAGGCUCCCCCGUCCCUGGGAUUUGCCAGGCAAGAGUACUGGGGUGGGUUGCCAUUUCCUUCUCUAAUGCGUGAAAGUGAAAAUUGAAAGUGAAGUCGCUCAGUCGUGUCCGACCCUCAGCGACCCCAUGGACUGCAGCCUUCCAGGCUCCUCCGUCCAUGGGAUUUGCCAGGCAAGACUACUGGGGUGGGGUGCCAUUGCCUUCUCCACCCCACUGACACAGAGCGGUACAAAGCAGCUGCAGCUUUCAGUGAGGGCUGGUCGCCACUCGCUUUGACCAGUAGGAAGCGUGAGCCAGCUGCUCAGUUCUCUCCUCUCUUCCCUCCAAGGACGGUUAUGAGAAACAGCCAUUUAUACGGCUUCUUCGAAGAUAUAGUCUACAAAACCAGGCAGCCUAUUUCCUUAAUGCCUCCUAUCCACUCUUCCCCCCACCCUGCCCUGUUCUCCUUUAUCCCCACUCUGUCCCCUGAGAUUGCAUCUCCUAAUAAUACGUUACCAUCAACACUUUUCCCCCAGCUCUGUUUCCUGGAAAACCAGGCUCAGAUAGGCAGACAAGCAAGCGAAACUUGUCUGGCUCAGCGCUCAUGCAUACACUGACCCCAGAAACAUGAUUAACUUAAAUCUCAUUCUGAGGUUCAAGAAAGAUAAAGGAAAUAAGGGGGAAGGGUGCACAGAAAAGGCAUUAAGGAAUGAAAUAGAAUAUAGCUACAAAAUACUGGCAAAACAAAGGCUUGAUCUUUAAAAAGAUGAAUAAGGUAAUCUUUACAAGACAAAUAAAGGAAAAAGAUUUAAGUUGUGAUGGAAUAAAUAACAUAUAAAACAUUUAAAUUAUAAAUAAUUAUUCAUGACUAUAUAUAAAUUGGAAAGUUCGGAUCAGAUGAACAUAUAACUUAUAAAAAUAGAGAAUAUAGAGGUGGAAUAUAUAUAUAUAAAGUGAACAUAACUUUGUAACCAACCCAGCUACAGACAGUAUGCACACAAAAUAUUAUAUAUAAGUGUAUCUUAUAUGUAUGGAAUCAAAAUCCUAAAUAAGUCCUGAGUUAUGUAUCUCACAUAAUAUUCUAGGUGAAAUAUAUUCCAUCUUGAGUUUAUUACUGGAGAACAAAGAUGAUUUAGUAGCAGAAAUCUUACCAAUGUGAUUCACCACAUUGUUUAUGGGCGAACAACUGUUACCAUCCACAUAAUUG
ensembl:lncRNA